rnacentral:rRNA from 1 species
AUACGUAGGGGGCGAGCGUUGUCCGGAAUGACUGGGCGUAAAGGGCGUGUAGGCGGCUUUAUAAGUCUGGAGUGAAAGUCCUGCUUUCAAGGUGGGAAUUGCUUUGGAGACUGUAGAGCUUGAGUGCGGAAGAGGUAAGUGGAAUUCCCAGUGUAGCGGUGAAAUGCGUAGAGAUUGGGAGGAACACCAGUGGCGAAGGCGUCUUACUGGGCCGUAACUGACGCUGAGGCGCGAAAGCGUGGGGAGGGAACAGGAUUAGAUACCCUGGUAGUCCACGCCGUAAACGAUGAAUGCUAGGUGUAGCGGGUAUCGACCCCUGCUGUGCCGCAGUAAACACAAUAAGCAUUCCGCCUGGGGAGUACGGCCGCAAGGUUGAAACUCAAAUGAAUUGACGGGG